UGAGGAAUAUUGGUCAAUGGCCGAGAGGCUGAACCAGCCAAGUCGCGUGAGGGAUGACGGCCCUACGGGUUGUAAACCUCUUUGUCGGGGUAGCAAAGGACUUCACGAGUGGGGUUUCGAGAGUACCCGAAGAAAAAGCAUCGGCUAACUCCGUGCCAGCAGCCGCGGUAAUACGGAGGAUGCGAGCGUUAUCCGGAUUUAUUGGGUUUAAAGGGUGCGCAGGCGGAGUGUCAAGUCAGCGGUAAAAUUUCGGGGCUCAACCCCGGCGAGCGUUGAAACUGACGCCCUUGAGUGCGCGAGAAGUAUGCGGAAUGCGUGGUGUAGCGGUGAAAUGCAUAGAUAUCACGCAGAACUCCGAUUGCGAAGGCAGCAUACCGGCGCGCAACUGACGCUCAUGCACGAAAGCGUGGGUAUCGAACAGGAUUAGAUACC
rnacentral:rRNA from 1 species